AAUCCAUAGGUUAAUGAGGCGAACCGGGGGAACUGAAACAUCUAAGUACCCCGAGGAAAAGAAAUCAACCGAGAUUCCCCCAGUAGCGGCGAGCGAACGGGGAGGAGCCCAGAGCCUGAAUCAGCAUGUGUGUUAGUGGAAGCGUCUGGAAAGGCGCGCGAUACAGGGUGACAGCCCCGUACACAAAAGCGCAUGUGCUGUGAGCUCGAUGAGUAGGGCGGGACACGUGGUAUCCUGUCUGAAUAUGGGGGGACCAUCCUCCAAGGCUAAAUACUCCUGACUGACCGAUAGUGAACCAGUACCGUGAGGGAAAGGCGAAAAGAACCCCGGCGAGGGGAGUGAAAAAGAACCUGAAACCGUGUACGUACAAGCAGUGGGAGCACCCUUUGGGUGUGACUGCGUACCUUUUGUAUAAUGGGUCAGCGACUUAUAUUCUGUAGCAAGGUUAACCGAAUAGGGGAGCCGGAGGGAAACCGAGUCUUAAUUGGGCGUUAAGUUGCAGGGUAUAGACCCGAAACCCGGUGAUCUAGCCAUGGGCAGGUUGAAGGUUGGGUAACACUAACUGGAGGACCGAACCGACUAAUGUUGAAAAAUUAGCGGAUGACCUGUGGCUGGGGGUGAAAGGCCAAUCAAACCGGGAGAUAGCUGGUUCUCCCCGAAAGCUAUUUAGGUAGCGCCUCGUGAAUUCAUCUCCGGGGGUAGAGCACUGUUUCGGCUAGGGGGCCAUCCCGGCUUACCAACCCGAUGCAAACUGCGAAUACCGGAGAAUGUUAUCACGGGAGACACACGGCGGGUGCUAACGUCCGUCGUGAAGAGGGAAACAACCCAGACCGCCAGCUAAGGUCCCAAAGUCAUGGUUAAGUGGGAAACGAUGUGGGAAGGCCCAGACAGCCAGGAUGUUGGCUUAGAAGCAGCCAUCAUUUAAAGAAAGCGUAAUAGCUCACUGGUCGAGUCGGCCUGCGCGGAAGAUGUAACGGGGCUAAACCAUGCACCGAAGCUGCGGCAGCGACACUGUGUGUUGUUGGGUAGGGGAGCGUUCUGUAAGCCUGUGAAGGUGUGUCGUGAGGCAUGCUGGAGGUAUCAGAAGUGCGAAUGCUGACAUAAGUAACGAUAAAGCGGGUGAAAAGCCCGCUCGCCGGAAGACCAAGGGUUCCUGUCCAACGUUAAUCGGGGCAGGGUGAGUCGACCCCUAAGGCGAGGCCGAAAGGCGUAGUCGAUGGGAAACGGGUUAAUAUUCCCGUACUUGGUGUUACUGCGAAGGGGGGACGGAGAAGGCUAUGUUGGCCGGGCGACGGUUGUCCCGGUUUAAGCGUGUAGGCUGGUUUUCCAGGCAAAUCCGGAAAAUCAAGGCUGAGGCGUGAUGACGAGGCACUACGGUGCUGAAGCAACAAAUGCCCUGCUUCCAGGAAAAGCCUCUAAGCAUCAGGUAACAUCAAAUCGUACCCCAAACCGACACAGGUGGUCAGGUAGAGAAUACCAAGGCGCUUGAGAGAACUCGGGUGAAGGAACUAGGCAAAAUGGUGCCGUAACUUCGGGAGAAGGCACGCUGACACGUAGGUGAAGUGAUUUACUCAUGGAGCUGAAGUCAGUCGAAGAUACCAGCUGGCUGCAACUGUUUAUUAAAAACACAGCACUGUGCAAACACGAAAGUGGACGUAUACGGUGUGACGCCUGCCCGGUGCCGGAAGGUUAAUUGAUGGGGUCAGCGCAAGCGAAGCUCCUGAUCGAAGCCCCGGUAAACGGCGGCCGUAACUAUAACGGUCCUAAGGUAGCGAAAUUCCUUGUCGGGUAAGUUCCGACCUGCACGAAUGGCGUAAUGAUGGCCAGGCUGUCUCCACCCGAGACUCAGUGAAAUUGAACUCGCUGUGAAGAUGCAGUGUACCCGCGGCAAGACGGAAAGACCCCGUGAACCUUUACUAUAGCUUGACACUGAACAUUGAGCCUUGAUGUGUAGGAUAGGUGGGAGGCUUUGAAGUGUGGACGCCAGUCUGCAUGGAGCCGACCUUGAAAUACCACCCUUUAAUGUUUGAUGUUCUAACGUGGACCCGUUACCCGGGUUGCGGACAGUGUCUGGUGGGUAGUUUGACUGGGGCGGUCUCCUCCUAAAGAGUAACGGAGGAGCACGAAGGUUGGCUAAUCCUGGUCGGACAUCAGGAGGUUAGUGCAAUGGCAUAAGCCAGCUUGACUGCGAGCGUGACGGCGCGAGCAGGUGCGAAAGCAGGUCAUAGUGAUCCGGUGGUUCUGAAUGGAAGGGCCAUCGCUCAACGGAUAAAAGGUACUCCGGGGAUAACAGGCUGAUACCGCCCAAGAGUUCAUAUCGACGGCGGUGUUUGGCACCUCGAUGUCGGCUCAUCACAUCCUGGGGCUGAAGUAGGUCCCAAGGGUAUGGCUGUUCGCCAUUUAAAGUGGUACGCGAGCUGGGUUUAGAACGUCGUGAGACAGUUCGGUCCCUAUCUGCCGUGGGCGCUGGAGAACUGAGGGGGGCUGCUCCUAGUACGAGAGGACCGGAGUGGACGCAUCACUGGUGUUCGGGUUGUCAUGCCAAUGGCACUGCCCGGUAGCUAAAUGCGGAAGAGAUAAGUGCUGAAAGCAUCUAAGCACGAAACUUGCCCCGA
rnacentral:rRNA from 3 species